CUUUACUUGGCGGCUACUGGAGAGCCUGGGAGCUAUGGGUCUAUGUAUACUUCCCAGCAUUGGCCCCAGAGUUGGAGGUGGCAGGGAUUCCCAUGACCCCAUACUCACUAGUGUUCGAGGGCCCGCACCGGCCGAGACCCCGAGAGACCCUCAUUUACCUGCGACAGUACUUUGACAGUGUGCGGCAUUCGGAGAUCUCAUGGCAGCCUUGGGCGCCCCUGGGCGAUGGUCUCCGAUUUCAGU